AAGUAUGCAAAUCUGAUCAAGUUAACGUUUACACAAGUAUUGAACUAUGAUGGAGACCAAAAAAACCUCCAAAUGAUAAAUUUUGAGCUACGUUUUGCAGCUGAACACCAUGGAUCAAGCGUGAUGAUCUACACGGUUAACUUGAUGGACUUACAGACUAACCACUUUUGCAACGGUACUUUCUCAUUACCCUCAUCUCUUUCCUGUACCUGGUUGAACAGCAGCAGUUGUAUGAUGUCGUACACCAUUCUAAACAACUCGUGCAAGGCUCUCAGUAGGCUCAUCAAUGGUCCAAUAACAGCUUCGUUUAGAUCACUCAUCGUGUCCAGUGCUGCAAUGUAGUGCUUCAAUACUGUACGUACGUUGUAAAUCUUGUAAUAAGAAAAUCCCAAAGUCUACUGUGUUUUUAUCCCAGACUAUUUAAAUACAAGUGGUGCUCCUAUUGGGUUUUAUAAAAUAAUUAGUUAUAAAAUAAAUUGAAUAGUACGUAC